rnacentral:rRNA from 1 species
CAGUCGCCACGGGAAUACGGAGGGGGCUAGCGUUGUUCGGAAUUACUGGGCGUAAAGCGCACGUAGGCGGCUUGGUAAGUUAGAGGUGAAAGCCUGGAGCUCAACUCCAGAAUUGCCUUUAAGACUGCCGAGCUAGCAGGUGAGAGAGGUAAGUGGAAUUCCGAGUGUAGAGGUGAAAUUCGUAGAUAUUCGGAAGAACACCAGUGGCGAAGGCGGCUUACUGGCUCAUUCUAGACGCUGAGGUGCGAAAGCGUGGGGAGCAAACAGGAUUAGAUACCCCGGUAGUCCCUGUCUCUUAUAA